UGCGCAAGCGGAACUUUAAGUCAGUGGUGAAAUCUUGCCGCUUAACGGUAAAAUUGCCAUUGAUACUGAAGUUCUUGAAUAUGGUUGAGGUAGGCGGAAUGUGUUGUGUAGCGGUGGAAUGCAUAGAUAUGACACAGAACUCCGAUUGCGAAGGCAGCUUACUAAACCAUUAUUGACGCUGAGGCACGAAAGCGUGGGGAGCGAACAGGAUUAGAUACCCUGGUAGUCC
rnacentral:rRNA from 1 species